rnacentral:lncRNA from 1 species
UUUGAAAUACUUGCACACAAACCGCGAGAAAGCGUUCCUGGAAAUCUCAGCCCAAAAAAGGAUGUUUAGUAAUUCUAAAAGGGACUACAGGAUGAAAAACAAUAGUUUUGGCAGUUAAAGUUUGAGAUUUGACGGUGUCGUAGAUCCGUUUGGUCAUCAGGUGUUACGAGCCACACCCAUGUCUAGCUAGAAUAGUGUGUUAGGCUCAGGCUAGAGAAGAAACGGGGAACAAACUGAUGAAAGAAUGAUCAAACCGAGGGGAUUCACUCAGAACUAACAAGAAUGAUAACGUGCUCCGACUAGAGCGGUUUAGGAACUUCUGGAAGGCUCUAGGGGAAUAAAGAUGGAAUGACUUCUAAUUUUUAGGUCCGUAUGAUUUGAAAUACUUUCACACAAACCGCGCGAAAGCGUUCCUGGAAAUCUCAGCCCCAAAAAGGACGUUUAGUAAUUCUAGAAGGGACUAUAGGAUGAAAAACAAUAGUUUUGGUAGUUAAAGUUUGAGAUUCGAUGGUGCCGUGGAUCCGUUUGGUCAUCAGGUGUUACGAGCCACACCCAUGUCUAGCUAGAAUAGUAUGUUAGGCUCAGGUUAGAGAAGAAACGGGGAACAAACUGAUGAAAAAAUGAUCAUACCAAGGGAAUUCACUCAGAACUAACAAGAAUGAUAACGUGCUCCGACUGGAGCGGUUUAGGAACUGCUGGAAGGCUCUAGGGGAAUAAAGAUGGAAUGACUUCUAAUUUUUACGUCCGUAUGAUUUGAAAUACUUGCACACAAACCACGCAAAAGCGUUCCUGGAAAUCUCAGCCUAAAAAAGGACGUUUAGUAAUUCUAAAAGGGACUACAGGAUGAAAAAUAAUAGUUUGGGCAGUUAAAAUUUGAGAUUCAACGGUGCCGUAGAUCCGUUUGGUCAUGAGGUGUUACGAGCCACACCCAUGUCUAGCUAGAAUAGUGUGUUAGGCUCAGGCUAGAGAAGAAACGGGGAACAAAUUGAUGAAAGAAUGAUCAUACCGAGGGAAUUCACUCAGAACUAACAAGAAUGAUAACGUGCUCCGACUGGAGCAGUUUGGAAACUGUUGGUAGGCUCUAGGGGAAUAAAGAUGGAAUCACUUCAAAUUUUUAGGUCCGUAUGAUUUGAAAUACUGGCACACAAACCGCGCGAAAGUGUUCCUGGAAAUCUCAGCCCAAAAAAGGACGUUUAGUAAUUCUAAAAGGGACUACAGGAUGAAAAACAAUACUUUUGGCAGUUAAAGUUUGAGAUUCGACGGUGCCGUAGAUCUGUUUGGUCAUCAGGUGUAACGAGCCACACCCAUGUCUAGCUAGAGUAGUGUGCUAGGCUCAGACUAGAGAAGAAACGGGGAACAAAGUGAUGAAAGAAUGAUCAUACCGAGGGAAUUCACUCAGAACUAACAAGAAUGAUAACGUGCUCCGACUGGAGCGGUUUAGGAACUGCUGGAAGGCUCUAGGGAAAUAAAGAUGGAAUGACUUCUAAUUUUUAGGUCCAUAUCAUUUGAAAUACGUGCACACAAACCCCGAGAAAGCGUUCCUGGAAAUCUCGGCCGAAAAAAGGAUGUUUAAUAAUUCUAAAAGGGACUACAGGAUGAAAAACAAUAGUUUUGGCAGUUAAAGUUUGAGAUUUGACGGUGCCGUAGAUCUGUUUGGUCAUCAGGGGUUACGAGCCACACCCAUGUCUAGCUAGAAUAGUGUGUUAGGCUCAGGCUAGAGAAGAAACGGGGAACAAAUUGAUGAAAGAAUGAUCAUACCGAGGGAAUUCACUCAGAACUAACAAGAAUGAUAACGUGCUCCGACUGGAGCAGUUUGGAAACUGUUGGUAGGCUCUAGGGGAAUAAAGAUGGAAUCACUUCUAAUUUUUAGGUCCGUAUGAUUUGAAAUACAUGCACACAAACCCCAAGAAAGCGUUCCUGGAAAUCUCGCCCCGAAAAACGACGUUUAGUAAUUCUAAAAGGGACUACAGGAUGAAAAACAAUACUUUUGGCAGUUAAAGUUUGAGAUUCGACGGUGCCGUAGAUCUGUUUGGUCAUCAGGUGUAACGAGCCACACCCAUGUCUAGCUAGAGUAGUGUGCUAGGCUCAGACUAGAGAAGAAACGGGGAACAAAGUGAUGAAAGAAUGAUCAUACCGAGGGAAUUCACUCAGAACUAACAAGAAUGAUAACAUGCUCCGACUGGAGCGGUUUAGGAAGUGCUGGAAGGCUCUAGGGAAAUAAAGAUGGAAUGACUUCUAAUUUUUAGGUCCAUAUCAUUUGAAAUACGUGCACACAAACCCCGAGAAAGCGUUCCUGGAAAUCUCGGCCGAAAAAAGGAUGUUUAAUAAUUCUAAAAGGGACUACAGGAUGAAAAACAAUAGUUUUGGCAGUUAAAGUUUGUGAUUCGAUGGUGCCGUAGAUCUGUUUGGUCAUCAGGUGUUACGAGCCACACCCAUGUCUAGCUAGAACAGUGUGUUAGGCUCAGGCUAGAGCAGAAACGGGGAACAAACUUAUGAAAGAAUGAUCAUACCGAGGGAAUUCACUCAGAACUAACAAGAAUGAUAACGUGCUCCAACUGGAGCGGUUUAGGAACUGCUGGAAGGCUCUAGGGGAAUAAAGAUGGAAUGACUUCAAAUUUUUAGGUCCGUAUGAUUUGAAAUACUUGCACACAAACCGCUAGAAAGCGUUCCUGGAAAUCUCAGCCCAAAAAAGGACGUUUAGUAAUUCUAAAAGGGACUACAGGAUGAAAAACAAUAGUUCUGGCAGUUAAAGUUUGAGCUUCGAUAAUGUCGUAGAUCCGUUUGGUCAUCAGGUGUAACGAGCCACACCCAUUUCUAGCUAGAGUAGUGUGCUAGGCUCAGACUAGAGAAGAAAUGGGCAACAAACUAAUGAAAGAAUGAUCAUACCGAGGGAAUUCACUCAGAACUAACAAGAAUGAUAACGUGCUCCGACUGGAGCGGUUUAGGAACUGCUGGAAGGCUCUAGGGGAAUAAAGAAGGAAUGACUUCUAAUUUUUAGGUCCGUAUGAUUUGAAAUGUGUGCACACAAACCCCGAGAAAGCAUUCCUGGAAAUCUCGGCCCAAAAAAGGACGUUUAGUAAUUCUAAAAGGGACUACAGGAUGAAAAACAAUAGUUUUGGCAGUUAAAGUUUGAGAUUCGAUAAUGCCGUAGAUCCGUUUGGUCAUCAGGUGUAACGAGCCACACCCAUGUCUGGUUAGAGUAGUGUGCUAGGCUCAGACUAGAUAAGAAACGGGGAACAAACUGAUGAAAGAAUGAUCAUACCGAGCGAAUUCACUCAGAACUAACAAGAAUGAUAACAUGCUCCGACUGGAGCGGUUUAGGAACUGCUGGAAGGCUCUAGGGGAAUAAAGAUGGAAUGACUUCUAAUUUUUAGGUCCGUAUGAUUUGAAAUACUUGCACACAAACCACGCGAAAGCGUUCCUGGAAAUCUCAGCCCAAAAAAGGACGUUUAGUAAUUCUAAAAGGGACUACAGGAUGAAAAACAAUAGUUUUGGCAGUUAAAGUUUGAGAUUCGACAGUGCCGUAGAUCCGUUUGGUCAUCAGGUAUUACGAGCCACACCCAUGUCUAGCUAGAAUAGUGUGCUAGGCUCAGGCUAGAGAAGAAACGGGGAACAAACUGAUGAAAGAAUGAUCAAACCGAGGGAAUUCACUCAGAACUAACAAUAAUGAUAACGUGCUCCGACUGGUGCGGUUUAGGAACUGCUGGAAGGCUCUAGGGGAAUAAAGAUGGAAUGACUUCUAAUUUUUAGGUCCGUAUGAUUUGAAAUACUUGCACACAAACCGCGCGAAAGCGUUCCUGGAAAUCUCAGCCCAAAAAAGGACGUUUAGUAAUUUUAAAAGGGACUAUAGGAUGAAAAACAAUAGUUUUGGCAAUUAAAGUUUGAGAUUCGACGGUGUCGUAGAUCCGUUUGGUCAUCAGGUGUUACGAGCCACACCCAUGUCUAGCUAGAAUAGUAUGUCAGGCUCAGGUUAGAGUAGAAACGGGGAACAAACUGAUGAAAGAAUGAUCAUACCAAGGGAAUUCACUCAGAACUAUCAAGAAUGAUAACGUGCUCCGACUGGAGUGAUUUAGGAACUGCUGGAAGGCUCUAGGGGAAUAAAGAUGGAAUGACUUCUAAUUUUUACGUCCGUAUGAUUUGAAAUACUUGCACACAAAUCACGCAAAAGCGUUCCUGGAAAUCUCAGCCUAAAAAAGGACGUUUAGUAAUUCUAAAAGGGACUACAGGAUGAAAAACAAUAGUUUGGGCAGUUAAAAUUUGAGAUUCGACGGUGCCGUAGAUCCGUUUGGUCAUCAGGUGUUACGAGCGACACCCUUGUCUAGCUAGAAUAGUGUGUUAGGCUCAGACUAGAGAAGAAACGGGGAACAAAGUGAUGAAAGAAUGAUCAUACCGAGGGAAUUCACUCAGAACUAACAAGAAUGAUAACGUGCUCCGACUGGAGCGGUUUAGUAACUGCUGGAAGGCUCUAGGGGAAUGAAGAUGGAAUGACUUCUAAUUUUUAGGUCCGUAUGAUUUGAAAUACAUGCACACAAACCCUGAGAAAGCGUUCCUGGAAAUCUCGGUCGAAAAAAGGAUGUUUAAUAAUUCUAAAAGGGACUACCGGAUGAAAAACAAUAGUUUUGGCAGUUAAAGUUUGUGAUUCGAUGGUGCCGUAGAUCUGUUUGGUCAUCAGGUGUUACGAGCCACACCCAUGUCUAUCUAGAAUAGUGUGUUAGGCUCAGGCUAGAGCAGAAACGGGGAACAGACUUAUGAAAGAAUGAUCAUACCGAGGGAAUUCACUCAGAACUAACAAGAAUGAUAACGUGCUCCGACUGGCGCGGUUUAGGAACUGCUGGAAGGCUCUAGGGGAAUAAAGAUGGAAAGACUUCUAAUUUUUAGGUCCGUAUGAUUUGAAAUACUUGCACACAAACCGCACGAAAGCGUUCCUGGAAAUCUCAGCCUAAAAAGGAUGUUUAGUAAUUCUAAAAGGGACUACAAGAUGAAAAAUAAUAGUUUGGGCAGUUAAAAUUUGAGAUUCGACGAUGCCGUAGAUCCGUUUGGUCAUCAGGUGUUAUGAGCCACACCCAUGUCUAGCUAGAAUAGUGUGUUAGGCUCAGGCUAGAGAAGAAACGGGGAACAAACUGAUGAAAGAAUGAUCAUACCGAGGGAAUUCACUCAGAACUAACAAGAAUGAUAACGUGCUCCGACUGGAGCAGUUUAGAAACUGCUGGAAGGCUCUAAUGGAAUAAAGAUGGAAUGCCUUCAAAUUUCUAGGUCCGUAUGAUUUGAAAUACUUGCACACAAACCGCUCGAAAGCGUUCCUGGAAAUCUCAGCCCAAAAAAGGACGUUUAGUAAUUCUAAAAGGGACUACAGGAUGAAAAACAAUAGUUUUGGCAGUUAAAGUUUGAGAUUCGAUGGUGCCGUAGAUCCGUUUGGUCAUCAGGUGUAACGAGCCACACACAUGUCUAGCUAGAGUAGUGUGCUAGGCUCAGACUAGAGAAGAAACGGGGAACAAAGUGAUGAAAGAAUGAUCAUACCGAGGGAAUUCACUCAGAACUUACAAGAAUGAUAACGUGCUCCGACUGGAGCGCUUUAGUAACUGCUGGAAGGCUCUAGGCGAAUAAAGAUGGAAUGACUUCUAAUUUUUAGGUCCGUAUGAUUUGAAAUACUUGCACACAAACCACGCAAAACCGUUCCUAGAAAUCUCGGUCGAAAAAAGGACGUUUAGUAAUUCUAAAAGGGACUACAGGAUGAAAAACAAUAGUUUUGGCAGUUAAAGUUUGAGAUUCGAUGGUGCCGUAGAUCCGUUUGGUCAUCAGGUGUUACGAGCCACACCCAUGUCUAGCUAGAGUAGUGUGCUAGGUUCAGACUAGAGAAGAAACGGGGAACAAAGUGAUUAAAGAAUGAUCAUACCGAGGGAAUUCACUCAGAACUAACAAGAAUGAUAACGUGCUCCGACUGGAGCGGUUUAGGAACUGCUGGAAGGCUCUAGGGGAAUAAAGAUGGAAUGACUUCUAAUUUUUACGUCCGUAUGAUUUGAAAUACAUGCACACAAACCACGCAAAAGCGUUCCUGGAAAUCUCAGCCUAAAAAAGGACGUUUAGUAAUUCUAAAAGGGACUACAGGAUGAAAAAUAAUAGUUUGGGCAGUUAAAAUUUGAGAUUCGACGCUGCCGUAGAUCCGUUUGGUCAUCAGGUCUUACGAGCCACACCCAUGUCUAGCUAGAAUAGUGUGUUAGGCUCAGGCUAGAGAAGAAACGGGGAACAAACUGAUGAAAGAAUGAUCAUACCGAGGGAAUUCACUCAGAACUAACAAGAAUGAUAACGUGCUCCGACUGGAGCAGUUUAGAAACUCCUGGAAGGCUCUAGGGGAAUAAAGAUGGAAUGACUUCAAAGUUUUAGGUCCGUAUGAUUUGAAAUACUUGCACACAAACCGCGUGAAAGCGUUCCUGGAAAUCUCAACCCAAAAAAGGGCGUUUAGUAAUUCUAAAAGGGACUACAGGAUGUAAAACAAUAGUUUUGGCAGUUAAAGUUUGAGAUUCGAUGGUGCCGUAGAUCCGUUUGGUCAUCAGGUGUAACGAGCCACACCCAUGUCUAGCUAGAGUAGUGUGCUAGGCUCAGACUAGAGAAGAAACGGGGAACAAAGUGAUGAAAGAAUGAUCAUACCGAGGGAAUUCACUCAUAACUAACAAGAAUGAUAACGUGCUCUGACUUGAGCGGUUUAGGAACUGCUGGAAGGCUAUAGGGGAAUAAAGAUGGAAUGACUUCAAAUUUUUAGGUCCGUAUGAUCUGAAAUACUUGCACACAAACCGCGAGAAAGCGUUCCUGGAAAUCUCAACCCAAAAAAGGACGUUUAGUAAUUCUAAAAGGGACUACAGGAUGAAAAACAAUAGUUCUGGCAGUUAUUGUUUGAGAUUCGAUAAUCUCGUAGAUCCGUUUGGUCAUCAGGUGUAACGAGCCACACCCAUGUCUAGCUAGAGUAGUGUGCUAGGCUCAGACUAGAGAAGAAACGGGGAACAAACUGAUGAAAGAAUGAUCAUACCGAGGGAAUUCACUUAGAACUAACAAGAAUGAUAACGUGCUCCGACUGGAGCGGUUUAGGAACUGCUGGAAGGCUCUAGGGGAAUAAAGAAGGAACGACUUCUAAUUUUUAGGUCCGUAUGAUUUGAAAUAUGUGCACACAAACCACGAGAAAGCGUUCCUAGAAAUCUCGGCCCAAAAGAGGACGUUUAGUAUUCUAAAAGGGACUACAGAAUGAAAAACAAUAGUUUUGGCAGUUAAAGUUUGAGAUUUGACGGUGCCGUAGAUCUGUUUGGUCAUCAGGGGUUACGAGCCACACCCAUGUCUAGCUAGAAUAGUGUGUUAGGCUCAGGCUAGAAAAGAAACGGGGAACAAAGUGAUGAAAGAAUGAUCAUACCGAGGGAAUUCACUCAGAACUAACAAGAAUGAUAACAUGCUCCGACUGGAGCGGUUUAGGAACUGCUGGAAGGCUCUAGGGGAAUAAAGAUGGAAUGACUUCUAAUUUUUAGGUCCGUAUGAUUUGAAAUACUUGCACACAAACCGCGCGAAAGCGUUCCUGGAAAUCUCAGCCCAAAAAAGGACGUUUAGUAAUUCUAAAAGGGACUACAGGAUGAAAAACAAUAGUUUUGGCAGUUAAAGUAUGAGAUUCAACGGUGCCGUAGAUCCGUUUGGUCAUUAGGUGUUACGAGCCACACCCAUGUCUAGCUAGAAUAGUGUGCUAGGCUCAGGCUAGAGAAGAAACGGGGAACAAACUGAUGAAAGAAUGAUCAAACCGAGGG